ACGAGCCAAGACACCUAAUAACUUGUAAAAAAUAAAAAACAAAUUAAUUGCAAAAAAAAAAA
rnacentral:sRNA from 13 species